UACGAAGGGGACUAGCGUUGUUCGGAAUUACUGGGCGUAAAGCGCACGUAGGCGGAUUUGUAAGUCAGGGGUGAAAUCCCGGGGCUCAACCUCGGAACUGCCUUUGAUACUGCAAAUCUCGAGUCCGAUAGAGGUGGGUGGAACUGCGAGUGUAGAGGUGAAAUCCGUAGAUAUUCGCAAGAACACCAGUGGCGAAGGCGGCUCACUGGCCCGGUACUGACGCUGAGGUGCGAAAGCGUGGGGAGCAAACAGG
rnacentral:rRNA from 1 species